rnacentral:rRNA from 1 species
CCGGUAUGAGAUGAGCUCGCGUCCCAUUAGCUAGUUGGUAGGGUAAAGGCCUACCAAGGCGACGAUGGGUAGCCGACCUGAGAGGGUGAUCGGCCACACUGGGACUGAGACACGGCCCAGACUCCUACGGGAGGCAGCAGUGGGGAAUAUUGCACAAUGGAGGGAACUCUGAUGCAGCAACGCCGCGUGAGUGAAGAAGGUUUUCGGAUCGUAAAACUCUGUCAUUGGGGAAGAAUAAAUGACGGUACCCAAUGAGGAAGCCCCGGCUAACUACGUGCCAGCAGCCGCGGUAAUACGUAGGGGGCGAGCGUUGUCCGGAAUUACUGGGCGUAAAGGGUACGUAGGCGGCUAUAUAAGUCAGGUGUGAAAUACCAGUGCUUAACACUGGAAUUGCAUUUGAAACUGUGUAGCUUGAGUGCAGGAGAGGAAAGUGGAAUUCCUAGUGUAGCGGUGAAAUGCGUAGAGAUUAGGAGGAACACCAGUGGCGAAGGCGACUUUCUGGACUGUAACUGACGCUGAGGUACGAAAGCGUGGGUAGCGAACAGGAUUAGAUACCCUGGUAGUCCACGCCGUAAACGAUGGAUACUAGGUGUAGGGGGUAUCGACCCCCCCUGUGCCGGAGUUAACGCAAUAAGUAUCCCGCCUGGGGAGUACGGUCGCAAGACUGAAACUCAAAUGAAUUGACGG